UACGUAGGCGGAAAAUUAAGUCAGAGGUGAAAUCCUACAGCUCAACUGUAGAACUGCCUUUGAUACUGUUAUUCUUGAGUAUCGGAGAGGUCGCUGGAAUUCGUGGUGUAGCGGUGAAAUGCGUAGAUAUCACGAGGAACACCAGAGGCGUAGGCGGGCGACUGGACGAUUACUGACGCUGAGGCACGAAAGCGUGGGGAGCAAACAGGAUUAGAUACCCUGGUAGUCC
rnacentral:rRNA from 1 species